ACAAAAUUAAGAACGAAAAAAAAUUUGGAAGGAUUUUUUCGAUUUUUUGACCUCGAAUUUUGAACGGUUAGAUAAACGAAAAAGGUGUAUAAGUAGAAGAUUGAUGUAAAAUGGAAAAUUGCGAAGCGGAGUACCUUCCUAUUAAUAAAAAGAGCUCAUGUUUGCAACUAUUUCAACCGAUUACCAUAGUGAAAGAAACAAAAAUACAAAAUAAAACAAAAAUGUAAAUUGCAAGCUACCUUUUAAAUGAAGCGCCACUUAAGGAUUCAUGUGAAUCGCGCAGAAAAAAAAAACAUCAAAUCCCCGCUCAGCAUAACGUUAAAUAAAAAUAACAGAAAGGAAACAACAAUAACAAAAAAUUAGCAAAAGCAACAAUUAAAUCUUUCCUUCCAUCGAUUGAAUGUAUGUAUAUAAGCAAACUAAUAUACAGUUGAUGAAUAAUCCUUCCCGAAGGCGAACAGUGGCAACAAAAUUAUUAUGAAAUGGAAAAAAUCGAUCGAAAAGCAUACAUCCAUGCAAAAGAAGAUUGGUUAUAGGAAACAGCAAUGAAUUGGAUCUCUAUUACGAUUUUUUUAUAAAACUAUUACCUACAAAAUUUAAAAUCUCAGUUACUU